AUUGAACGCUGGCGGAAUGCUUUACACAUGCAAGUCGAACGGCAGCACGGACUUCGGUCUGGUGGCGAGUGGCGAACGGGUGAGUAAUGUAUCGGAACGUGCCCAGUCGUGGGGGAUAACGUAGUGAAAAUUACGCUAAUACCGCAUACGAUCUAUGGAUGAAAGCGGGGGAUCGCAAGACCUCGCGCGAUUGUAGCGGCCGAUAUCAGAUUAGGUAGUUGGUGGGGUAAAGGCCCACCAAGCCAACGAUCUGUAGCUGGUCUGAGAGGACGACCAGCCACACUGGAACUGAGACACGGUCCAGACUCCUACGGGAGGCAGCAGUGGGGAAUUUUGGACAAUGGGCGAAAGCCUGAUCCAGCCAUUCCGCGUGCAGGAUGAAGGCCCUCGGGUUGUAAACUGCUUUUGUACAGAACGAAAAGGUUUCUACUAAUACUAGGAGCUCAUGACGGUACUAUAAGAAUAAGCACCGGCUAACUACGUGCCAGCCGCCGCAGUAA
rnacentral:rRNA from 1 species